UACGUAGGGUGCAAGCGUUAAUCGGAUUCACUGGGCGUAAAGGGUGCGUAGGCGGUCGGGUAAGUCUGAUGUGAAAUCUCACAGCUUAACUGUGAAACUGCAUUGGAUACUAUCCGGCUUGAGGAAUGGAGGGGAGACUGGAAUACUUGGUGUAGCAGUGAAAUGCGUAGAUAUCAAGUGGAACACCAGUGGCGAAGGCGAGUCUCUGGACAUUUCCUGACGCUGAGGCACGAAAGCCAGGGGAGCAAACGGG
rnacentral:rRNA from 1 species